CAAUAGCGUAUAUUAAAGUUGUUGCAGUUAAAAAGCUCGUAGUUGGACUUCUGCGGGUGGCGGCCGGUCGUGCUCGAAACGGGCGUGAACUUGGCGUGCUGCCCGCAUCUUUGGGGAGAUUGUGCGUGGCAUUAAGUUGUCGUGCGUGGGAUUCUCAUCAUUUACUGUGAAAAAAUUAGAGUGUUUAAAGCAGGCCUUUGCCUUGAAUACAUUAGCAUGGAAUAAUAAGAUAGGACCGUUGUCUAUUUUGUUGGUUUACAGAUGUCGGUAAUGAUUAAUAGGGAUAGUUGGGGGUAUUCGUAUUCAGUUGUCAGAGGUGAAAUUCUUGGAUUUUCGGAAGACGCACGACUGCGAAAGCAUUUACCAAGGAUGUUUNCAUUAA
rnacentral:rRNA from 1 species